AACACGGAUCUGUUCUGGAGAUAAAGCAGCACUGAGGAGGAUUGGUGGAUGCUAACUACAGUUGUUGAGAAGAUGCAAGGUUGUGUUUUCCUUCUCAAAAGAUCACAGCCUGCUCAUUCUUUCCAUGGCUCAUGAAGGUGACAAGAUGGGACAACUGAAGGAACACAUUUGUGAAGUUACCUGCUCAAAGCCAUAACAGACGCCAGUGAUAAAUCCAGGAACAGAAGCUAAGUCUCCCAAGUUGCGGCCUAACACCAUCAA